rnacentral:rRNA from 1 species
AACGAACGCUAGCGGGAUGCCUCAAACAUGCAAGUCGAACGAGAAAGGUCCUUCGGGAACGAGUAAAGUGGCGCACGGGUGCGUAACACGUAGCUAACGUACCUCUUCGCUGGGGAUAACUCCGGGAAACCGGAGCUAAUACCGAAUGAUCUGAAUUUGUCUGCGGACGGAUUCGGUAAAGCCUUCGGGCGCGAAGAGAUCGGGCUGCGUAACAUUAGCUUGAUGGUAGGGUAACGGCCUACCAUAGCGACGAUGUUUAGCUGGUCUGAGAGGAUGAUCAGCCACACUGGAACUGAAACACGGUCCAGACUCCCACGGGAGGCAGCAGUUGGGAAUAUUGGACAAUGGGAGCAAUCCUGAUCCAGCAAUCCCGCGUGAGUGAUGAAGGCUUUCGGGUCGUAAAGCUCUUUCAGCAGGGAAGAAGGGAAACUUGACGGUACCUGCAGAAGAAGCACCGGCUAACUCCGUG